rnacentral:tRNA from 2 species
GGAGUUGUGCCUGAAACAAAGGGUCACUUUGAUAGAGUGAAUCAUGGGGGAUAAAACCCCUCCGCCUCCU